rnacentral:lncRNA from 1 species
AAUUAGGUCACUGUCGUUAGUUCCGUUGACAUGUGGAUUUUUUUGAAUUUUUUAAAUAUAUUUUUAAUUAUUUUUAUUUUUAUUUUUUAUUUUUUUUCUAUUAAAAUUAAAAUUUGCCACGUGUCAUGACAUUGUGCUAUGUAGCAAUGACAGUGUGAGGCGACACUGUUUUGUUCCAAUUUGGUCCUUGUAUUUUUAUU